rnacentral:tRNA from 1 species
CAGUAAGUAUUUUAAUAAAAAAUAUUAGUUUUGGGUACUAAAGAUGAUAAUUUCUUUACUGA